rnacentral:rRNA from 1 species
CUAUUAUGGAGAGUUUGAUCCUGGCUCAGGACGAACGCUGGCGGCGUGCCUAAUACAUGCAAGUCGAGCGGACAGAUG